rnacentral:lncRNA from 1 species
UCUGUAAACUAUUUGACAGUUAUUCCUUCCUUUUCUGUAGGUCUUGCUUGAGCAUAGCAGUACUGAUGUUAAUUUGGAAGGAGAAAAUGGAAACACAGCUGUGAUGAUCGCAUGCACCAAAAAUAAUAGUGAAGCACUGCAGAUUUUGCUUAACAAAGGAGCUCAGCCACGUAAAUCAAAUAAAUUUGGAUGUUUUCCUAUUCAUCAGGCGGUACUUUCAGGUUCCAAAGAAUGCAUGGAAAUAAUAUUAAAGUUUGGUGAAGAGCAUGGGUACAGUAGACAGUUACACAUCAACUGUGUGAAUAAUGAGAAAGCCAGUCCUCUCCACCUGGCUGUGCAAAAUGGUGAUUUGGAAAUUGUCAAAAUGUGCCUGGAC